AUUGAACGCUGGCGGUAGGCUUAACACAUGCAAGUCGUGCGAGAAAGUAUCUUCGGAUAUGAGUAGAGCGGCGGACGGGUGAGUAACGCGUAGGAAUCUACCUAGUAGAAGGGGAUAGCCCGAGGAAACUCGGAUUAAUACCGUAUACCUCUUUAGGGAGAAAGAGGGCCUCUCUUGAUGCUCUCGCUAUUAGAUGAGCCUGCGUAAGAUUAGCUUGUUGGUGAGGUAAUGGCUCACCAAGGCUACGAUCUUUAGCUGGUCUGAGAGGACGAUCAGCCACAUUGGGACUGAGACACGGCCCAGACUCCUACGGGAGGCAGCAGUGGGGAAUAUUGGACAAUGGGCGCAAGCCUGAUCCAGCCAUACCGCGUGUGUGAAGAAGGCCCUAGGGUUGUAAAGCACUUUAAGCAGGGAGAAAAAGUUAUAAGUUAAUACCUUAUGACCUUGAUGUUACCUGCAGAAUAAGCACCGGCUAA
rnacentral:rRNA from 1 species